CAUGAACGCUGGCGGCGUGCCUAAUACAUGCAAGUCGAGCGAACAGAUUAGUAUCUUUUUCCUCUGACGUUUGCGUUGGACGUUUUAGUAACACUUUGAUAACCUACCUAUACGACUUGGUUAACUUCGUGCAACCUGCGCUAAUACCGGAUUUUAUAUUUAACCGCAUGUUUCCCUCGUGAAAGACGCUUUUGCUGUCACUUUUAGAUUUAUCCGCGCCGCAUUUGCUAGUUGGUAAGGUAACGGCGUAUCAAGUCGACGAUGCGUAGCCGACCUGGGAGGGUGAUCGGCCACACUAGAACUAAGACGCAGUCCAGACUCCUACGGGAGGCAGCAGUAGGGAAUCUACCGCCAUGGACGAAAGCCUGACGGAGGAAAGCAGCAUGAGUGAUGAAGGUCAUAGGAUCGUAGAGCGCUGUUAUGAGGGAAGAAAGAAUGUGUAAGUAGCUAUGCACGUCUUGACGGUACCUAAUCAGAAAGCCAAGGCUAACUACGUG
rnacentral:rRNA from 1 species